UUGGAGGGCAAGUCUGGUGCCAGCAGCCGCGGUAAUUCCAGCUCCAAUAGCGUAUAUUAAAGUUGUUGCAGUUAAAAAGCUCGUAGUUGAAUUUCGGGACCAAUUUGUUGGUCGUGCCUCGGUACGUACUGGUAUUAUUGGUUUCUCCCUUCUGAAGAACCUUGAUGUCAUUAAUUUGGUGUCUUGGGGAAUCAGGACUGUUACUUUGAAAAAAUUAGAGUGUUUAAAGCAGGCAUACGCUUGAAUACAUUAGCAUGGAAUAAUGAAAUAGGACGUUUGAUUCUAUUUUGUUGGUUUCUAGGAUCGACGUAAUGAUUAAUAGGGAUAGUUGGGGGCAUUAGUAUUCAAUUGUCAGAGGUGAAAUUCUUGGAUUUAUUGAAGACUAACUACUGCGAAAGCAUUUGCCAAGGAUGUUUUCAUUAAUCAAGAACGAAAGUUAGGGGAUCGAAGACGAUCAGAUACCGUCGUAGUCUUAACCAUAAACUAUGCCGACUAGGGAUCGGAUGAUGUUAAUUUUUUAAUGACUCAUUCGGCGCCUUACGGGAAACCAAAGUGUUUGGGUUC
rnacentral:rRNA from 1 species